AUUUUUAAAAGGCUGCGGUAUUUUGACUGUACAAAGGUAGCAUAAUCAUUAGUUUUUUAAUUGAAAACUUGUAUGAAUGGUUGGAUGAGAAAUUAACUUUUUUAAAAAAAUAAUUGAAUUUUACUUUUUAAUUAAAAGGUUAAAAUAAAUUUAAAAGACGAGAAGACCCUAUAGAGUUUUAUAAUUUAUAUUUAAUAUUUAAAAAGAUUAAUUAAAAUUUUAUAAAAGAAAAUAUUUUGUUGGGGUGAUAAUAAAAUUUAAAUAACUUUUAUUUUUUUUUACAUUAAUAUAUGAAUUUAUGAUCCAUUAUUGAUGAUUAGAAAUUUAAAUUACCUUAGGGAUAACAGCGUAAUUUUUUUUUAAAGUUCAUAUUAAUAAAAAAUUUUGCGACCU
rnacentral:rRNA from 1 species